UGGGGAAUAUUGCACAAUGGGCGCAAGCCUGAUGCAGCCAUGCCGCGUGUGUGAAGAAGGCCUUCGGGUUGUAAAGCACUUUCAGCGAGGAGGAAGGUGGUGAACUUAAUACGUUCAUCAAUUGACGUUACUCGCAGAAGAAGCACCGGCUAACUCCGUGCCAGCAGCCGCGGUAAUACGGAGGGUGCAAGCGUUAAUCGGAAUUACUGGGCGUAAAGCGCACGCAGGCGGUUUGUUAAGUCAGAUGUGAAAAUCCCCGGGCUCAACCUGGGAACUGCAUUUGAAACUGGCAAGCUAGAGUCUCGUAGAGGGGGGUAGAAUUCCAGGUGUAGCGGUGAAAUGCGUAGAGAUCUGGAGGAAUACCGGUGGCGAAGGCGGCCCCCUGGACGAAGACUGACGCUCAGGUGCGAAAGCGUGGGGAGCAAAACAGGAUUAGAUACCCUGGUAGUCCACGCUGUAAACGAUGUCGAUUUUGGAGGUUGUGCCCUUGAGGCGUGGCUUCCGGAGCUAACGCGUUAAAUCGACCGCCUGGGGAGUACGGCCGCAAGGCUAAAAACUC
rnacentral:rRNA from 1 species